rnacentral:pre_miRNA from 1 species
UUUUAAGUAUAAGUACAUCCUGUGCAAUAUUUGGGAUAACUUAUCCUACAA